AUGCUACAGCAGAUCAGAAACAGCAUGAAGAUCUACCACCUUCUGGAGGUGACUGGAAGGCACCAAAGUCUUUGUUCAGACCUGUUUGUUCCCAGAGAUGACAGUGAUGACACAAGGGAUGAAGACCAAGAGGGCUGUGCGUGUGGGAUCCAGGACAUACAAAACCAGGACCAGGAGGAACACUGGAGCUCCAAACACAAACUACUGAGGAUGUCUGUCCCAGCGAUUAUGCUACACAAACCAUGGCUUCCAUCAGAAAGGGCCAAUUUAAAAUCCAUGCAAGGUUUGAAUAUCGCUGCAAAGAUAAGAUGCCUGGACAUCACAUAAGUGCUUCUUUCCUGUGGCACUCAUGAGCUCAUCCACCGAGUUUACAGGCAUUAUGACACCAGCUGUCACAGUGGGAAGGGAGAAGCCGUGUGUAGCUGACACUCAAUAAAUCACGAGCUAGGCAGCACUGCACUGUAGCCCUGCUGUUUAAAACCUAUUUCAGUUCUCAGAGACCAAAAUGGAUUCACAGUCACAUAUUGUGUUCCCACCUUGUGUCAGCAAUCGCAGUGUGGAUGUCCAGAGUCCAAACGGGAACAGUUCUGGUGGGCGGCCACAUGGCCAGCGACUGAUUUGAAACCCUUCAGGAGGGCACCCGCAUUGCCAGCGGUGGCACUGGGGUGGAUCCGGAGUCCGGCCGUGAGGAAGGUGGCGACGGCGAAGAAGUCCAGUCAGUAACCUGCAAGGUAGCCGCCGACGCCAAACCCAACGUGGACGGGACGGUGGCAUGGCGAUCGCAGGACCAGACGAUGGCGUGGGAGCCGCCGGUGGCAGAGCUGCAGGCCACGGCAUGGGAGCCACCAACGAGGCAGGGCCAGCAGGAAACCUCUGGCUGAGAAGAGAGGGCGUUCACAGCCGUCUCUGGAUGCUGUGGCUGUAGAUCAGGGAACAGAGCUUGAGGCUGGACCACAGACUGGAUGGGAGGCUGAGCUAACCACUGGACUGGUGACUGAGCUAGCUAUAGCAGAUGAGCCUCGCUUCUCCUGAGCGUAAACAGCUGAGCCGCCGAGCUAGGGACCCUCCACUGAGCCGCGGUGGGAGGCGGAAAAGAAAAGGAAGACUGACUGGAUGACUGAACUGAGGAACACAUACGGAAUUGACAGGGCAAGAGACUGAUGAAGCUAAGGACUUAAAUACACUGGCUGAUAAUGAAUGAUAAUGAGAAACCGGCUAGCACACAGCUGAACUUAAACUAAUGACACAGGACAGGAACUGGCACAGCAAAACAGGAAAUGAGUGAACAAUAAACAGAAGAUGAGCAGCUGAAAAGAAUAACGACCCAGGAACCCUGACACCGUGUUUGACCCAGUAUUGGUUCUUGUAAUGUUAAAAACUAUUCAGAGGACUGCUUUCAUAAAGACCUGAUGAAUCUAACAUUGAACUUGUAUCUCAAAUUCAUUUUUGUAAGUCUGAAGACUUUUAGAGUUUAAGUGAAUUUUAUUUUUUUGAAAUGUAUUUUUAUAUGAAGCAAGUAAAACUUUUUCUCUCACUUUAAAGUUUUCCAUGGUCGGUGUAGUGAUGUUUAGUCUGUUCAGUUGAAAAUAAAUAUUCUUCCACCUGAUCAAUUGGUUUGGUCAGUCAUUGAAAGGAUAUCGUAGAAUUUGAGCAUUUAUUGACAUUUGAAAGAAAUUAAUCAACUCAGUUACAAAACGUAACCAAAUGUGGCUAUUUUAAACUUAAGUUAUAAAAGUACAAACAGCAUUUGACGC
rnacentral:lncRNA from 1 species